rnacentral:rRNA from 1 species
UCGAGCGGAAACGAGUUAACAGAACCUUCGGGGGACGUUAACGGCGUCGAGCGGCGGACGGGUGAGUAAUGCCUGGGAAUAUGCCUUGAUGUGGGGGAUAGCCAUUGGAAACGAUGGCUAAUACCGCAUAAUCUCUACGGAGCAAAGAGGGGGACCUUCGGGUCUCUUGCGUCAAGAUUAGCCCAGGUGGGAUUAGCUAGUUGGUGAGGUAAUGGCUCACCAAGGCGACGAUCCCUAGCUGGUCUGAGAGGAUGAUCAGCCACACUGGAACUGAGACACGGUCCAGACUCCUACGGGAGGCAGCAGUGGGGAAUAUUGCACAAUGGGCGCAAGCCUGAUGCAGCCAUGCCGCGUGUGUGAAGAAGGCCUUCGGGUUGUAAAGCACUUUCAGUAGGGAGGAAGGUGAUGUCGUUAAUAGCGGCAUGAUUUGACGUUACCUACAGAAGAAGCACCGGCUAACUCCGUGCCAGCAGCCGCGGUAAUACGGAGGGUGCGAGCGUUAAUCGGAAUUACUGGGCGUAAAGCGCAUGCAGGUGGUGAGUUAAGUCAGAUGUGAAAGCCCGGGGCUCAACCUCGGAACUGCAUUUGAAACUGGCUCACUAGAGUACCGUAGAGGGGGGUAGAAUUUCAGGUGUAGCGGUGAAAUGCG